rnacentral:rRNA from 1 species
AUACGGGAGGCAGCAGUGGGGAAUAUUGCACAAUGGGGGAAACCCUGAUGCAGCAACGCCGCGUGAAGGAUGAAGGUUUUCGGAUUGUAAACUUCUUUGAUGAGGGACGAAUAAUGACGGUACCUCAAAAACAAGCCACGGCUAACUACGUGCCAGCAGCCGCGGUAAUACGUAGGUGGCAAGCGUUGUCCGGAGUUACUGGGUGUAAAGGGCGUGUAGGCGGGUUAUCAAGUCAGAUGUGAAAUUCCAUGGCUCAACUGUGGCGCUGCAUCUGAAACUGAUGAUCUUGAGUGAUGGAGAGGAAAGCGGAAUUCCUAGUGUAGCGGUGAAAUGCGUAGAUAUUAGGAGGAACACCAGUGGCGAAGGCGGCUUUCUGGACAUUAACUGACGCUGAGGCGCGAAAGCGUGGGGAGCAAACAGGAUUAGAUACCCCGGUAGC